rnacentral:tRNA from 1 species
GCAGAUGUAGUUCAGUGGUAGAACGCAACCUUGCCAAGGUCGAGAUGCGAGUUCGAUUCUCGUCAUCUGCUCCA